rnacentral:rRNA from 1 species
GAAUUGUUCGCAAUGGGCGCAAGCCUGACGACGCAACGCCGCGUGGAGGAUGAAGGUCUUCGGAUUGUAAACUCCUGUUGCCCGGGACGAACCGCUCCGACCUAAUACGUCGGAGCUUGACGGUACCGGGUCAGGAAGCCCCGGCCAACUCUGUGCCAGCCGCCGCGGUAAUACAGAGGGGGCAAGCGUUGUUCGGAAUUACUGGGCGUAAAGGGCGCGUAGGCGGCCUGUUAAGUCGAACGUGAAAUCCCGGGGCGCAACCCGGGAACUGCGUCCGAGACUGGCAGGCUUGAAUCCGGGAGAGGGAUGUGGAAUUCCAGGUGUAGCGGUGAAAUGCGUAGAUAUCUGGAGGAACACCGGUGGCGAAGGCGACAUCCUGGACCGGCAUUGACGCUGAGGCGCGAAAGCCAGGGGAGCAAACGGG